rnacentral:tRNA from 1 species
UAAUAAACCCUGGUGGGUGUUUACGUUUCGGCCGUAAAAUUGAGAGUGUGUGUCUUUCUAUUAA